CGUUCUCGGGCCUUGUACACACCGCCCGUCACACCACGAAAGCCGGCAACACCCGAAGCCGGUGUCCUAACCCGCAAGGGAGGGAGCCGUCGAAGGUGGGGUUGGUGAUUGGGGUGAAGUCGUAACAAGGUACCC
rnacentral:rRNA from 1 species